GCAUUUGUGUGCAUAAAAAGUGGUAUGGUACAGUUUGCUUUUAGGUACUUUUUGACAGUGGAAUCAGCCAUAAAAGCGUACUGUACCGUACCAUACCGUAUGGUACCAGGGGC
ensembl:miRNA mir740 microRNA 740